rnacentral:rRNA from 1 species
CCUACGGGUGGCAGCAGUGGGGAAUAUUGCUCAAUGGGGGAAACCCUGAUGCAGCGACGCCGCGUGAGGGAUGAAGUAUUUCGGUAUGUAAAGCCCUAUCAGCAGGGAAUAAAAUGACGGUACCUGACUAAGAAGCACCGGCUAACUACGUGCCAGCAGCCGCGGUAAUACGUAGGGGGCAAGCGUUAUCCGGAUUUACUGGGUGUAAAGGGAGCGUAGACGGUAGAGCAAGUCUGAAGUGAAAGCCCGCGGCUUAACUGCGGGACUGCUUUUGAAACUGUUCAACUGGAGUGCUGGAGAGGUAAGCGGAAUGCGUAGUGUAGCGGUGAAAUGCGUAGAUAUGAGGAGGAACACCAGUGGCGAAGGCGGCUUACUGGACAGUAACUGACGUUGAGGCUCGAAAGCGUGGGGAGCAAACAGGAUUAGAUACCCUAGUAGUC